GAUGAACGCUGGCGGCGUGCCUAAUACAUGCAAGUCGAGCGAACAGAUGAGGAGCUUGCUCCUCUGACGUUAGCGGCGGACGGGUGAGUAACACGUGGAUAACCUACCUAUAAGACUGGGAUAACUUCGGGAAACCGGAGCUAAUACCGGAUAAUAUAUUGAACCGCAUGGUUCAAUAGUGAAAGACGGUUUUGCUGUCACUUAUAGAUGGAUCCGCGCCGCAUUAGCUAGUUGGUAAGGUAACGGCUUACCAAGGCAACGAUGCGUAGCCGACCUGAGAGGCUGAUCGGCCACACUGGAACUGAGACACGGUCCAGACUCCUACGGGAGGCAGCAGUAGGGAAUCUUCCGCAAUGGGCGAAAGCCUGACGGAGCAACGCCGCGUGAGUGAUGAAGGUCUUCGGAUCGUAAAACUCUGUUAUUGGGGAAGAACAAAUGUGUAAGUAACUAUGCACGUCUUGACGGUACCUAAUCAGAAAGCCACGGCUAACUACGUG
rnacentral:rRNA from 1 species